GUCCUGUGGGAAUUUCUUGCCCCCAGGACACACCGUGUCUGUGCAGAAGCAGCAAAGUGAAGUUUCUGUUUGGAAAUCUGAUAAAUGGGAUGGACCCUCCUUUGGAAAAACAGGAUAACUCUGAGAGAAUCUGAAUGAUUUAGGCUGGCAAAGACCUUUAAGAUCAUCAAGUCCAACCUUUACCACUGCCAAGGCCACCAUCAUGUUCAGCUUCUUUGUAGGAAUGUGCCACAUGGAUUUCCUUUUUCCUCUGGUGGAUUGUACAGUGGGUUUAAACUGCCUUGUGUGUGGUGAUGACCCACAAAGACCCUCUCAGACAUGGACCCUGGACCAUCCCAUCCUGACUGUUCACAGGUCAAUCUCCACUUAUUUGAACAGCAGCUCCCCAUAAAAUCCUAGUGCAGCCCUCUUUACGUGCAGGCCAGCCUUGUAUUCCCGGGAGUUAACAUGGAAUUUAAGGUUUGGGGUUUCUCAUUUUAAAUAAAAGUGUACUUGACCAUCAUACCAAGAAAAAAAUAGCAGCAGCAAUGUGUAUGGAGUUAUCUUAAUUUUGCUGGAGAUGCAGGAGCUUUUAACUCACACUGGAGCUACUUUUUGAGGCAGGUAAUUUCCACUUAAAUAAAGGUAAACUAUUUCUUAUACAUUGCUAAAUGUGAACCGACAGUGGGAAUGAAAAGGACAAUCUUACUAAUCCUUGUGUUGGGCUUGAAGCUGCCUGAGAAAUUAAGGAAAUCCAGAAUGGCUUAUCUGUAUCUGUAAAGAAAAUCAGCUUGUCUUUAGACUACAA